rnacentral:rRNA from 1 species
CAACUCAUCGGCACUGAUUUAGUGAGGACUUCAGACUUGUCAAUCAAGACUACUGGUAAACUAGUGAUAGGAUUGUGCUCGAAAGAUGUUCAAACUUGAUCAUUUAGAAGAAGUAAAAGUCGUAACAAGGUUUCCAUAAGUGAACCUACGGAGG